rnacentral:rRNA from 1 species
GACGAACGCUGGCGGCGUGCUUAACACAUGCAAGCCGAACGGAAAGGCCCUGCUUUUGUGGGGUGCUCGAGUGGCGAACGGGUGAGUAACACGUGAGUAACCUGCCCUUGACUUUGGGAUAACUUCAGGAAACUGGGGCUAAUACCGGAUAGGAGCUCCUGCUGCAUGGUGGGGGUUGGAAAGUUUCGGCGGUUGGGGAUGGACUCGAGGCUUAUCAGCUUGUUGGGGGGGUAGUGGCUUACCAAGGCUUUGACGGGUAGCAGGCCUGAGAGGGUGACCGGCCUCAUUGGGACUGAGAGACGCCCCAGACUCGUACGGGAGGCAGUAGUGGGGAAUAUGGCACAAUGGGGGGAAGCCUGAGGCAGCAACGCCGCGUGCGUGAUGACGGCCUUCUGGUUGUAAACCGCUUUGGCCGGUGACGAAGAGUGAGUGACGGUAAUGGGUAAAGAAGCACCGGCUAACUACGUG